rnacentral:rRNA from 1 species
GGUGAACGCUGGCGGCGUGCUUAAGACAUGCAAGUCGAACGGCAGUCUUCGGACUGUAGUGGCGCACGGGUGAGUAACGCGUAACUGACCUACCCCAAAGUCGCGGAUAACGAUUCGAAAGAAUCGCUAAUACGUGAUGUGCUGUCAGAUUGUGUUCUGCCAGUAAAGAUUGAUUGCUUUGGGAUGGGGUCGCGUUCCAUCAGCUAGUUGGUGGGGUAAAGGCCCACCAAGGCGACGACGGAUAGCCGGCCUGGGAGGGUGGCCGGCCACAGGGGCACUGAGACACGGGUCCCACUCCUACGGGAGGCAGCAGUUAGGAAUCUUCCACAAUGGGCGAAAGCCUGAUGGAGCGACGCCGCGUGAGGGAUGAAGGUCUUCGGAUCGUAAACCUCUGAAUCAGGGACGAAAGACACUUCGGUGGGAUGACGGUACCUGAGUAAUAGCACCGGCUAACUCCGUGCCAGCCGCCGCGGUAAAAC